UGCCAGCCGCCGCGGUAAUACGAAGGGUGCUAGCGUUGUUCGGAAUUACUGGGCGUAAAGCGCGCGUAGGCGGUUUAGCAAGUUGAAGGUGGAAUCCCGGGGCCCAACCCCGGAACUGCCUCCAAAACUGCUAGACUAGAAUUCAAGAGAGGUAGGCGGAACUUCCAGUGUAGAGGUGAAAUUCGUAGAUAUUGGAAAGAACACCAAACGCGAAGGCAUUCUGCUGGUCAUUACCUGACGCUGAGGGACGAAAGCGUGGGGAGCGAACGGGAUUAGAUA
rnacentral:rRNA from 1 species